rnacentral:piRNA from 1 species
UUUAACUUGGAUGGUGGAUGUGGGAACCGCU